GGUUCAUGAUGACAUAGGACCUUGUCUGAACAUAAUGAUUUCAAAACUUGAGCUUCAGAUGACACUGAAAUC
rnacentral:snoRNA from 1 species